rnacentral:rRNA from 1 species
AUGUCUCCUGAAGAGUUGGAAGAUUGGCAAAGUCUCUCUGCCCUCUUCCCUGUGCUCUCGGAGUCGUCUAAUUCUGUGGUUUGGCCUCUUACGGCCUUUGGCAGGUUUUCGGUUAAGUCGUUGUACACUAGGCUUAUCGGUGGUAACCCUUCGAGUAGAUUCUCUUGCGUCUGGCAAUCUAAAGUGCCUCCUAAGAUUAAAAUUUUCCUUUGGCAAGCUUUUCGAGGCCGCCUCCCGGCGGCUGACCAGAUUCGCAAGCGCAAUGGGCCAGGCUCAGAGUUCUGUCAUCUUUGCGGUGCCUUAGAAAACUCAGAACACAUAUUUUUCCACUGCGUGCUGGCCAAGUUGGUGUGGAGUUGUGUCAGAUCUUGGCUACAGGUUUCUUGGAACCCUUCUUCAUUCUCUGAGCUUAGAAACCUAGCCAAAGUUUUGGUUGGGAUUACCAAGAGGGUGUUCUGGGUAGGCCUGGGUGCCUUGUGCUGGGCUUUAUGGACUAUUAGGAACAGAUUUACUAUUGAGCACUAG